GUAACGAGCAAUUUGAUAAAAUAAAUUUGUCGGUUUCUUAUACGUUGCGAAGCCUUAGAGAUAACAAGAAAAACAGUGUUCGGGGAGAUAACUCUUACAAGGUAAAGUUUUUUGUUACGCGGUGUCAGUUUGAGAAGCGUAUUAACUGUUCGAUAUCAUAUACCAUAUAUCUAAGCGACAUCUUGGGAAACAAAAAAACAGUGAAGGAAAAAAAAGUUGGCGGAAGGAAAAAAAUAAUAAUAAUAAUAAUAAUAAUAAUAAUCAGAACAAAUACAAUAGGUCUUUCAACUGAAAGGUUGAAAGACCUAAUAAUUAAAAACCAAUUGUUCAGAGAACCAUUGAUGUCUUUCCACCACUUACAACAUAUUUUGAUGUGAAAAUAUUAAAAAUUCAGAUGAUAUGUCAGUUUGUUUGACUUUAUGAUGUCUAAAUAUGAAUUUGGAGCAAAGGUCAAAAUCUAGAACGUCAAUAACCUAUGACCUUGACCUCAAUUUCAAGGUCAUAGACUAAGGAUCUCAAACCUAAAGACACUAGUUCCUUAAUAUGUAUGGUUCAUGAGUAAUAUCACUUUACGAAUAAUUCUAAACAUAAGAGGGGCGAAAACUCCCAUUUUUUGUCUUCGCA
rnacentral:lncRNA from 1 species